AUUCCCAUCUCUCUCCCUCUCUCUCUCUCGAAAAUCUCAGCUGAAAGAUGUAAGUUUUAUGAGUUUCGUUUGUUUAGUUUAGGUUUUAGGGCAAAUGAUUUCUCGUUAUGAUGUUGAUAGCUUCUUGUCCUGCUUCGUCUGAAUGCUUGAUUAUCGGUUUUGAUUAUGGAAAAAAUUCCCGUCUAUGAUUUUGAUAGAUUCUUGGUCUGCUUCGUGUGAAUGAAUCAUCGGUUUUGAUUUUGUCAAAUGAUUUUUUGUGUAUGAUGUUGAUAGCUUCUUAUAGGUUGUGGGAAUUAAAACUCUAAAAGUACAUAGAUUUUGAUCGGUUAUGUUGUUAACUCUCUGUCAAAAACAUUUCAUUUCUUGUUCUAAGUGUUAAUUUGUUUUUUAACUCGAGGUCUUAUGCGGAUUUUCUCGCCGGUUCUUUUCCAUCUUCCUCAUCUGCUGGUCUGGGUUCCCCGGCUGCACAAGGAACAAGUGUCCCUCAGCCACAGCCAGCAUCAAUCAUCGAGGAUAGGUUACUGAACGAGUUGUUGGUGGCACCAGGACGAGAGUUGCUUCCUAAGCUGAGCCCAAAUGGAGAACCAAAUACUAGCUGGUAAAUUUUUAACUCUUAAUCUAAUCAUUUCUAUUUUGCUAUGUGCUUAUGUAUUCAUUGUUUAUAGGUUUAGGCGAAGAAAUCGCAAUGCAAUUUGCAAGUCGAUUUUGAAAUGAUUUCACAGUCUCCUUGAGUUGCCUUAUCCGACGUAUGCACAUGUUCCAUUAGAAAUUCAGAAGAUGUGGCUCCGUUCAUUUGCGCAAGAUUGGAACUGGGACCCUGCUUUCACCAAUGAUGUGCGGACAGCCUUUAAUUUGCAGGCUAGAAAGCAGUACACGAGCAACGUGACUGAGUGGAAGAAAAAGUGGAGGCUGAAGAAGGAUAAACCCAUAUGUCUGAAUCAAGAUGUGUGGGACGGGUUUAAAGCCUAUUGGCAGCUCGAUGCUACUGCACAUAUUGCAGCUACCAAUUCUGUUAAUUGAAGAAGCAAGCGUGGUGGAAAAGGUGAAGCAGUACACAAUGGUGGUGCUAAGACACGAGAGGAACGUGAGAUAGAAAUGACUGCUGAAAGGGGUGGUGUGCCACCAGAUUGGUUAGAAUUGAUGAGGGAUAUGCACACCAAUAAACAAACCGGUGAGGUGCAAGAUCCUGUUGCGAGAGAGCUGUUGGCAACUCUGAGUAAGCUGAAGGAGGACAAAGAAGCACAACUUCAGCAGUCUCAUCAGUUGUCUGCGAAUGAUGGAUCUACAGCUUCUAAC